rnacentral:rRNA from 1 species
UACGGGGGGGGCAAGCGUUGUUCGGAAUUACUGGGCGUAAAGGGCUCGUAGGCGGCCAACUAAGUCGGACGUGAAAUCCCCAGGCUCAACCUGGGAACUGCGUCUGAUACUGGCAGGCUUGAAUCCGGGAGAGGGAUGUGGAAUUCCAGGUGUAGCGGUGAAAUGCGUAGAUAUCUGGAGGAACAUCGGUGGCGAAGGCGACAUCCUGGACCGGUAUUGACGCUGAGGCGCGAAAGCCAGGGGAGCAAACGGG